GUGAGCACAGCGUGCUAUGGGGCUGAGUGGAGGCCUCUAGGUGGAACGGCCAGCCGCCUAUGGAGCAGUUUGGGUGUGUGUUAAAAGCUGUUAUGUCUCCCCCAAGGAUUAACUCGGGUGUGUCACAGCCAUUAACAGCAUGUUAGCUACCUGAGAUGACACUGAGAAACCAACCAUCAACCAUAAUGACCAUGCAGCACCUCUCUGAGUGUGUGUGUGUGCAGUCUUUAUGAUAGCAGAACGGAGUGUAAAGGUGGAUCAUGAGGAACAGUUUGAAGGCUAUUUUCUCUACUGUCAAGUUAAAGUACAUCUAAAUGAAAUGAGAAACAGUAAAGGGGUUUUCUGUGAGAUGUUCUCAAAUGGCGCAAAAUGACAGAUGGAGUACGAUUAUCAUAAACAAGUUUAUGUCCGGCCUGUCACUGGAAUUCAAUCGCUCAGCUAAUUCAGGAGUGCCCUUUUGACUUGGUCCGAUGGUUGCUGCAGAGCUGCUGUUUGUCUUGCUGGCAGAAAUAAAACCUGUGGCUGAGGAUUCACCCAGAGGAGAGACCUUGCCAGCACGAGGAACUCCGGCGACGUCCCCUGGCAGCUGCUGAGUGCUGUUAUGUGUGUAUGUAUGUAUGGAGGGAAGCUUGUAAUGUGAAAAUUAUGAGACAAAAAGUCAAAAUUAUGAGAAACAAUUCAACAGUAUGAAAUAAAAAGUGAAAAGUAUGAGAUGAAAGUCACUGAGAAUGGACUUUACAGUGAAAACUAUUUGCAUAUUAAUUGAUUCUGUCAUUUUUAAUGAGCUAGAAGGAGUAGAUGACUUUUUAAGGAUUUUAUUUGGGGUUUUUUUUGUGUAAAAAUAUAUCAGACACACAUUAUUGUUCCAAACAGACUAGUUUAUAUGCCUUAAUACAUGUCUGGAGGGGAUCUUUAAAUAUUCCCAGCAAACGGAUGAAAUAACACACAUUUUGUCUUGUAUGUUAGAGUGUUUUUCUACAAAAGGUCUACCAGACAUCAGACAGUCCAGACCAUAAUAAUGCUGGCUGAAAGAGAUCAAACUGCGUACUGAACUAAUCAUUGUCCAGACUCUCCACAGGCUGCAGUUGUGCUCACUGUUUCAAAUAAAUCAACCUCCCACUCUGGGUGGACAGCGGCUCUUCUACUGCCCAGCUAGUUGCCUUCUUCCUCCGCCCACUCAUUCACAAGCCCAACAUGCUGAAGGUUAUGUACCAUGAAAAAUGGCUUCUGUAAUACAUGUGUUGGACCCUUUCACACCAAACCUCCUGAUGUGUUGGACCUUUUUCGCAUGAUGUGAGCUAGGGACAGAGGUCAACCAGUGUGUCACAUACUGUGAAGUCUUGUUUUUGGCUAAACCCACAGACGCAUGCAUUAUUAAUGAAAGAAUACAGUACAUUUCAUUAUCUCUGUUAAUUAAAAAUAAGGCAUAGUACUUUAAAUGAGAGGUGAAAAAUACAAACAAGCUGCAGAAGGUUAUAAUUUAAAGAUCUUAAAGCUGCAGUUGGAACAUUUUAAAAGGAUAACUUUUUGUCAUAUUUUUUGAAACUUUCACUUUAUCCUGACAUUAUAACACGAAACUGAUCAUCUGUGAAAAAAUCAAGUCCCUCUGGCUCGUUCUAGAGCUCCUAACGGCAUCUGCGAGAAUCCACCGGGCCCGAACUAAAAACAACCAAUCAGAGCUGAGGAAGACUCAAGGUCAAUUUAUUCCUUUUUCGUGAGCUUUCAGCUGUAUCACAUGGUCUUCAUUAGAGUU
ensembl:lncRNA